rnacentral:rRNA from 1 species
GAUGAACGCUGGCGGCGUGCCUAAUACAUGCAAGUCGAGCGAACGGACGAGAAGCUUGCUUUUCUGAUGUUAGCGGCGGACGGGUGAGUAACACGUGGAUAACCUACCUAUAAGACUGGGAUAACUUCGGGAAACCGGAGCUAAUACCGGAUAAUAUUUUGAACCGCAUGGUUCAAAAGUGAAAGACGGUCUUGCUGUCACUUAUAGAUGGAUCCGCGCUGCAUUAGCUAGUUGGUAAGGUAACGGCUUACCAAGGCAACGAUGCAUAGCCGACCUGAGAGGGUGAUCGGCCACACUGGAACUGAGACACGGUCCAGGCUCCUACGGGAGGCAGCAGGAGGGAAUCUUCCGCAAUGGGCGAAAGCCUGACGGAGCAACGCCGCGUGAGUGAUGAAGGUCUUCGGAUCGUAAAACUCUGUUAUUAGGGAAGAACAUAUGUGUAAGUAACUGUGCACAUCUUGACGGUACCUAAUCAGAAAGCCACGGCUAACUACGUG